UACCUAUGAUGAAAAUUACAGGCCUCUCUCAUCUUUUUAAGUGGGAGAACUUGCACAAUUGGUGGCUGACUAAAUACUUUUUUGCCCCACUGUACAUGCUUAGUAAAUGAAUGUUUGCAUACAUAAGCAUACAGUGAGGGCACUCAUCCCAGUCCAUAUUAGCUCUAACUAUCUGCAGUAAUCUAGAUAUGCUUGCACUAGCAUCCUCUAAUCAUUUUUCUAGACUGCUUGCUUUUCCAACCACGCAUGCAAAUAUGAAGAACGGUGAAGCACUUUAUUUAUGUAUAGCGUUUUGGAAACCUUAUUUUGUACUGGUCCAGCUUUAUCCCCAAUUUAUCUGAUGGGUUUUGCUUUUGUAUUUGCUAUUAUUACUUUUUGUAUCAUAUAUUUAAACAUAAAUAUGUUAUAUAAUAUACAUGAUAUGCUGUGAUACAUACAUCUAUAGAUUAUGGAUAUAUAAUGUUGUCUGAUGUGCGUAAUGUGGUGAAGAUCUUAUAAGAAAAUUACUGUAGGCAAUAAUGUAUUGGAUGAAAUCCUAGAUAUGUACAGUAUAUGUUAUCCAGUAUGAAGCUACUGUUGGAGGGACAUGGCCAGCACUGAGAGUACUGUCAAUCCCAGGGCUAAAAGGAUGCUAUUUAAAGUUUAUACAAGGCUAAAUGCUAUUGUCCACAUCAUAACUCUAUCUAGUUUGUGAUCCUAACAUGAGAGAAACUCUAAUCUGUCCAUUCAAAUAAGAAAAUAAUAGACAAUAUAACACAGUUUAAAUCGUUAAAAAAACAAGUAUUAGAUAAUAUAUCACAAGGCUAAAUGUAUGAUAUUAGAGUGCCUUUGUGAAGAGAUAUCAAUCUUUCCAUCGAUGCCAUUAUUCCAACCAAGGUGGACUAGAGCUUUAUGUCAAUAGAGACAUAACAACCUAACUCUACUGACCUGUUCUGGUGUGACUGCAGUAAGUCCUGUACUAUAACAACCUAACUCUACUGACCUGUUCUGGUGUGACUGCAGUAAGUCCUGUACUAUAACAACCUAACUCUACUGACCUGUUCUGGUGUGACUGCAGUAAGUCCUGUACUAUAACAACCUAACUCUACUGACCUGUUCUGGUGUGACUGCAGUAAGUCCUGUACUAUAACAACCUAACUCUACUGACCUGUUCUGGUGUGACUGCAGUAAGUCCUGUACUAUAACAACCUAACUCUACUGACCUGUUCUGGUGUGACUGCAGUAAGUCCUGUACUAUAACAACCUAACUCUACUGACCUGUUCUGGUGUGACUGCAGUAAGUCCUGUACUAUAACCACCUAACUCUACUGACCUGUUCUGGUGUGACUGCAGUAAGUCCUGUACUAUAACCACCUAACUCUACUGACCUGUUCUGGUGUGACUGCAGUAAGUCCUGUACUAUAACAACCUAACUCUACUGACCUGUUCUGGUGUGACUGAAGUAAGUCCUGUACUAUAACAACCUAACUCUACUGACCUGUUCUGGUGUGACUGCAGUAAGUCCUGUACUAUAACAACCUAACUCUACUGACCUGUUCUGGUGUGACUGCAGUAAGUCCUGUACUAUAACCACCUAACUCUACUGACCUGUUCUGGUGUGACUGCAGUAAGUCCUGUACUAUAACAACCUAACUCUACUGACCUGUUCUGGUGUGACUGAAGUAAGUCCUGUACUAUAACAACCUAACUCUACUGACCUGUUCUGGUGUGACUGCAGUAAGUCCUGUACUAUAACAACCUAACUCUACUGACCUGUUCUGGUGUGACUGCAGUAAGUCCUGUACUAUAACAACCUAACUCUACUGACCUGUUCUGGUGUGACUGCAGUAAGUCCUGUACUAUAACCACCUAACUCUACUGACCUGUUCUGGUGUGACUGCAGUAAGUCCUGUACUAUAACCACCUAACUCUACUGACCUGUUCUGGUGUGACUGCAGUAAGUCCUGUACUAUAACCACCUAACUCUACUGACCUGUUCUGGUGUGACUGCAGUAAGUCCUGUACUAUAACAACCUAACUCUACUGACCUGUUCUGGUGUGACUGAAGUAAGUCCUGUACUAUAACAACCUAACUCUACUGACCUGUUCUGGUGUGACUGCAGUAAGUCCUGUACUAUAACAACCUAACUCUACCGACCUGUUCUGGUGUGACUGCAGAGUACUGCUAGGUGUCAGGCAAGGUAAGGAAGGGUACUGCUAGGUGUUAACCAAGGUAAGGAAGGGUACUGCUAGGUGUCAGCCAAGGUAAGGAAGGGUACUGCUAGGUGUCAGGCAAGGUAAGGAAGGGUACUGCUAGGUGUCAGGCAAGGUAAGGAAGGGUACUGCUAGACUGGUGUGAGAGGAGGAACCAAAGAGCUGCUAUACUGUGAUGUCUGUUAGAUAAACAGUAACUAAAGGCUUGUUGUAAAAUCCAUCCCAGGAUUACACCACUGUCCUUAUGUGUCUUCUAAACGGUUAUGAGAUGUCAUAAAGCCUACAUAGUGAUGUCAUAACAUAUCAUAGGAUAAUGUUUUUGUGCCAUAUGCAGUGAUUUUGAUCAGUUAACUGUAGAUUGUAGCCUGAUCCCGGUAGUCAUUUUUAUGCAUUGUGAUAUAAGCUGACAUAACCUGUUAUGAAUGGUAAUAACACGUAGUAAAUUAUGAAUAAUCAUUAUUGAAGCUUUAUGAAGGAGUGUUCACCUGCUAUUCACUGUCAGGAAUCAUAACCUCACAUCGAUUUCAAUGUUGUCUAACUAAUGUUUUAAAAAAAAAAAAAAAAA